rnacentral:rRNA from 1 species
UAAUUUGAGAGUUUGAUCCUGGCUCAGGACGAACGCUGGCGGCGUGCCUAAUACAUGCAAGUCGAACGAACUCUGGUAUUGAUUGGUGCUUGCAUCAUGAUUUACAUUUGAGUGAGUGGCGAACUGGUGAGUAACACGUGGGAAACCUGCCCAGAAGCGGGGGAUAACACCUGGAAACAGAUGCUAAUACCGCAUAACAACUUGGACCGCAUGGUCCGAGUUUGAAAGAUGGCUUCGGCUAUCACUUUUGGAUGGUCCCGCGGCGUAUUAGCUAGAUGGUGAGGUAACGGCUCACCAUGGCAAUGAUACGUAGCCGACCUGAGAGGGUAAUCGGCCACAUUGGGACUGAGACACGGCCCAAACUCCUACGGGAGGCAGCAGUAGGGAAUCUUCCACAAUGGACGAAAGUCUGAUGGAGCAACGCCGCGUGAGUGAAGAAGGGUUUCGGCUCGUAAAACUCUGUUGUUAAAGAAGAACAUAUCUGAGAGUAACUGUUCAGGUAUUGACGGUAUUUAACCAGAAAGCCACGGCUAACUACGUGCCAGCAGCCGCGGUAAUACGUAGGUGGCAAGCGUUGUCCGGAUUUAUUGGGCGUAAAGCGAGCGCAGGCGGUUUUUUAAGUCUGAUGUGAAAGCCUUCGGCUCAACCGAAGAAGUGCAUCGGAAACUGGGAAACUUGAGUGCAGAAGAGGACAGUGGAACUCCAUGUGUAGCGGUGAAAUGCGUAGAUAUAUGGAAGAACACCAGUGGCGAAGGCGGCUGUCUGGUCUGUAACUGACGCUGAGGCUCGAAAGUAUGGGUAGCAAACAGGAUUAGAUACCCUGGUAGUCCAUACCGUAAACGAUGAAUGCUAAGUGUUGGAGGGUUUCCGCCCUUCAGUGCUGCAGCUAACGCAUUAAGCAUUCCGCCUGGGGAGUACGGCCGCAAGGCUGAAACUCAAAGGAAUUGACGGGGGCCCGCACAAGCGGUGGAGCAUGUGGUUUAAUUCGAAGCUACGCGAAGAACCUUACCAGGUCUUGACAUACUAUGCAAAUCUAAGAGAUUAGACGUUCCCUUCGGGGACAUGGAUACAGGUGGUGCAUGGUUGUCGUCAGCUCGUGUCGUGAGAUGUUGGGUUAAGUCCCGCAACGAGCGCAACCCUUAUUAUCAGUUGCCAGCAUUAAGUUGGGCACUCUGGUGAGACUGCCGGUGACAAACCGGAGGAAGGUGGGGAUGACGUCAAAUCAUCAUGCCCCUUAUGACCUGGGCUACACACGUGCUACAAUGGAUGGUACAACGAGUUGCGAACUCGCGAGAGUAGGCUAAUCUCUUAAAGCCAUUCUCAGUUCGGAUUGUAGGCUGCAACUCGCCUACAUGAAGUCGGAAUCGCUAGUAAUCGCGGAUCAGCAUGCCGCGGUGAAUACGUUCCCGGGCCUUGUACACACCGCCCGUCACACCAUGAGAGUUUGUAACACCCAAAGUCGGUGGGGUAACCUUUUAGGAACCAGCCGCCUAAGGUGGGACAGAUGAUUAGGGUGAAGUCGUAACAAGGUAGCCGUAGGAGAACCUGCGGCUGGAUCACCUCCUUU